UACAUAUUCAUCAGCCUCGGUGCUCACGACCGAAAUGAGCCGACACAGCUUUGGAGAAGAGAGAGCAGUGUGACAUACAGUGCAGUUCUCUCAGGCGUGCUGCAGAAGUGGAUAAGUCAGCCGCAGCCAGACUGACGUGACGCGAUCAAGUGCAUCGACGCCGGGUUCAAAGGUGCAGAGGCAGAGAGAGGGAAAACAGAAGCACGCCAAUCAGCAGGGAAAAGGGGAGGAUGCAAGCCUGCUGCGACGAGGAACUGACAAGGAGAUGGGGGGAGAGGUAAGAAAGAGUCACGGGUUAAUGCCGAGGAAGGGACUGGCAGCAGGAAUAGGCGCUGAAACCCCUGGAGCCAUGACGAGAUGAUCCAUGGCACGUGGAGGCAGGGAGUUUCUGGAAAGGCUUGGCACUCCGCCUGAGGAAGUCCCUGCACUGGAGCGGGCCUGGCAUGGACGCUGCAAGUUCAGCAAGCUGAACGUGACAGCAGCGCCGGCUCAGCGCAGACACUCCAGUUUUCUCGGUAGUUUAGUGAAAACGAAGACGAUGGCGCUCAUCGUGUCUGCGGGGCUAUUAAAGGAAACCACAACCUUUGCAUCACCGCCUCUCCUCGCUCGCUCCUGCCGGCUUCUCGUCACUCGAGGUUGCACGCCAACAAGGGUGGUAACGUGCUUUGGCAUGGAGGUGCUCCACGCAGGCCAAGACAAACACAGCAGCGCACACUGACAGACACCGAGGCUUGUGAAACAGCACAGCUUGUCGUUUUUGUGGGAAAUUACCUUCAAAGUUAAUAUUUCUCACCUUUAUAACCACAUAACACAGAAACGACCGGCACACCUGACGUUAGAGCAGUUUUAGGGAAGACGUGUCUCUGUGUGAGACAAAUAUGGAUUUUUCAAAAGCUCUUUACUACCCGACAGGUAAUAAUUUAACAUGUACUGCAUGUCUCAUUAAAGAGCUGCAAUAAGCAGACAGUAACUAUCCAGCUGCUCAGAGUUUGAGGUAGUUUAAUUCGAGCGCUUCGACAGACACCUUCCCUUAAACUGCUGUAUGAUUGCAGCAAAUAAUCUAACGUCAAAAUAAAAAAGACAUCUGACACUCGUGACCACAAAACGGCAACUUCCCCAAAAAAGCUGUGAAAAUAUCAGUUUUUUAAAAACGACUCGUAUUUAAUGAUACUUUUGGGAUUUUAACCCUUUAUAGAACAGCAUGUUUGCACACCCGUACAGCUGCUGAUGUUUAUUAUUAAAACUAAAAUUAUUUCAAUAAGUAGUAUAGGAUUCUUGAGAUAGGUCAUUGGCAGCAACAUUUCAUAUAUUAUUACAAUAUUAACCCUUUAAAGAGGGACUCCAGCUGAGGUGGAGCAAACGCACAGGCUGGUCUUUGCAUGGAAGCUUCCGGCGCUGCUGCCAGCUCUGCUCUUUCUGUCCGUGCAAAAGUAACACCGCUGAUGAGAGGGGCUCGCAGCAGCACCCUGCAGAUUUAAACGGAUUCAUUUUUUGACCUGUUAACACAAACGCAGUUAGUCUGUGUCCACAUAACCCACUGAGUGAGUCCCGUGCAGGUUUGUCAUGGCCACAGUUUGCUGCAGGAUUUCAUGCAUCAGCAGCAGUGCAGAGCUGUGGCAGGAGGUGUACGUCCCAGGAUCAAACCUCUGGCUGCUGGGACAUCGCAGGGCGUUGCAGUCUGAGUGCGAGACCAAAACAUGGAGAUGGAGAAGUCCAUCCUGUCACUGAGUCAGGGUUGGACUCUAGCUGGUCUGUUUCUACCUGGCAAAUACGAGUUAUAGUCAUUUAGCACAGACAAAAUAGCACGAAGAUAAACCACACAAUGUCUCCGGGAUCAUCCGAGGCUGAAACAAAUAAAUAUCAGAUAAAUGCAGAACUGCCCACUGUAAGAAACCACUACAGUGAGGUCAGGUCUGUCAAAGACCUAAAUCGGAUGAGAUAAGCCGCAUAUUCUAAUUAUGUUAGCUAUAAGCUUUGUAAUAACCAGAUACUCCAGCCUUUUUAUUUAGCUAGAAAUUGUUCACUCAUUAGCUAAUAUUAUCUACAGAGCUAGCAGUAGCUACGACCCAACAUACACCGUCUGAUGAGCUAACGAUAUCAUCCCAGGUAAACAAUGUUUCCCCAGAAGAUCUGUUAUCAAUGAUUUUACCUACUCAGCUAGCAACCACAGGCUAAUGAAGUACAGUACAGUAGCUAACUUCAUGGCUAUCGUUUCUGCAAUGCUAGCAUAUAGUAACAUUUAAAAGAAAGCAAUGCUAAUAAACUCAAUGUUUAUUGAUAGAGUUAACCAAAGAAACAGCACACACGCUAAUUUUGCUGACACAUUGCAACUAGCUUCUCAAGUAUUCUGCUGACUAUUAGCAAAACAAACUGAAAGACUGACACUCUGUAACAUUAACAGUCAAAAAAGCAACAUUGAUUCAGAUAAAUUCAGCUUAUUCAGUUGAAGGCGGCGUUAAUUCACAACUAUUCAUGUCUAAAAAUGUUAUUCAUCUCUUCAAGUCCUCGACUGAAAGAGAGAAAAUGCUACGGAGGACCAGACAGAAACAGCGAGCGACUGUAUUUGAUCAGGAUGAAAAUAUGAUGACAAAGCUGUGGCUCAAUAGAUCUGGACAGACAAGUGUUACUCUAAUCUAUAUUUUGAAAAUGAUCUCUUAAGUUUGUCAUUUCCCCGUCUGUGAUAAUAAAAAUGUCAUCACGUA
ensembl:lncRNA